ACCGGCGCGCUAGGAGCCAGCGGGACCUCGCCGUACGCUCGUCGCUGCGCUGCCUGUGCGGCUUGUCCUCCCACAUCCCGAGCGCAGCGGCCCACCGGCCGAGAGUACGUGCUUCUCUCCCGCACGCAGUACCUGGGCUCGGCCGGGCAGGGCCCACCGCCUUGGAUUGAGGAUGGGGGAGUAGCUGCAGGAGGCGACCCUGCAACACCAAGAUUAAUGUUUUUGGAGACAGUUUUGUGAUGUUUGAUUCACCCUUGGAGUAAUGAGAACAGAAGUGCUCAAACUUGCAUACUCUGUCAACUGGAACCAGCAGUGUGUCUUAAUAUUCACUUAAAUCAGAACUUGUAUAAGAAGAAGAAUGGGUGUCUGGUUAAAUAAAGGUGACUGUGUCGGAGACUUGAAAAAGAUCGUUCUCUGUUUUUUAAUAGUGUACAUGGCCAUUUUAGUGGGCACAGAUCAAGAUUUUUACAGUUUACUAGGAGUAUCCAAAACUGCAAGCAGUAGAGAAAUAAGACAAGCUUUCAAAAAGUUGGCAUUAAAGUUACAUCCUGAUAAAAACCCGAAUAAUCCAAGUGCACAUGGUGAUUUUUUAAAAAUAAAUAGAGCAUAUGAAGUACUCAAAGAUGAAGAUUUACGGAAAAAAUAUGACAAAUAUGGAGAAAAAGGACUUGCAGAUAAUCAACAAGGAGGCCAGUAUGAAAGCUGGAACUAUUAUCGUUACGAUUUUGGUAUUUAUGAUGAUGAUCCUGAAAUCAUAACGCUGGAUAGAAGAGAAUUUGAUGCUGCUGUUAAUUCUGGAGAACUGUGGUUUGUAAAUUUUUACUCCCCAGGAUGUUCACACUGCCAUGAUUUAGCUCCCACAUGGAGAGAGUUUGCUAAAGAAGUGGAUGGAUUACUUCGAAUUGGAGCUGUUAACUGUGGUGAUGAUAGAAUGCUUUGCCGAAUGAAAGGAGUCAACAGUUAUCCCAGCCUCUUAAUUUUUAGACCUGGAAUGGCUGCAGUGAAGUAUCAUGGUGACAGAUCAAAGGAGGACUUGGUGAGUUUUGCCAUGCAGCAUGUUAGAAGCACGGUGACAGAAUUAUGGACAGGAAAUUUUGUUAAUGCCAUAGAAACUGCUUUUGCUGCUGGUAUUGGCUGGCUGAUCACUUUUUGUUCCAAAGGAGGAGAUUGUUUGACUUCUCAGACAAGACUCAGGCUUAGUGGCAUGUUGGAUGGUCUUGUUAAUGUAGGAUGGAUGGACUGUGCCACCCAGGACAACCUUUGUAAAAGUUUGGAUAUUACCACAAGUACUACGGCCUAUUUUCCUCCUGGAGCCACUUUAAAUAACAAAGAGCAAAGUGGUGUUUUGUUUCUUAAUUCGUUGGAUGCCAAAGAAAUAUAUUUGGAAGUAAUGAAUAAUCUUCCAGAUUUUGAACUACUUUCGGCAAACACACUAGAGGAUCGUUUGGCUCAUCAUAGGUGGCUCUUAUUUUUUCAUUUUGGAAAAAACCAAAAUUCAGAUGAUCCUGAGUUGAAGAAACUGAGAACUCUACUUAAAAAUGAACACAUUCAAGUUGGCAGAUUCGACUGCUUGUCUGCACCAGACAUCUGUAGUAAUCUCUAUGUUUUCCAGCCCUGUCUAGCAGUAUUUAAAGGACAAGGAACCAGAGAAUAUGAAAUCCAUCAUGGAAAGAAGAUUCUAUAUGAUAUACUUGCAUUUGCCAAAGAAAGUGUUAAUUCUCAUGUUACCACACUUGGACCUCAAAACUUUCCUUCUAGUGACAAAGAACCAUGGCUUGUUGAUUUUUUUGCACCUUGGUGUCCUCCAUGUCGAGCAUUAUUGCCAGAGUUACGGAAAGCUUCAAAGCAUCUUUAUGGUCAGCUUAAAUUUGGUACACUAGAUUGUACAGUUCAUGAGGGACUCUGUAACAUGUAUAACAUUCAGGCUUAUCCAACAACAGUGGUAUUUAACCAAUCCAACAUUCAUGAAUAUGAAGGACAUCAUUCUGCUGAACAGAUCUUGGAGUUCAUAGAGGAUUUGAUGAAUCCUUCAGUGGUCUCCCUUACACCCACCACUUUCAACGAACUAGUUAAGCAAAGAAAACAUGAUGAAGUCUGGAUGGUUGAUUUCUAUUCUCCAUGGUGUCAUCCGUGUCAAAUGUUAAUGCCAGAAUGGAGAAGAAUGGCCCGAUCAUUAACUGGACUGAUCAAUGUCGGCAGUGUAGACUGCCAACAGUAUCAUUCUUUUUGUGCCCAAGAAAAUGUUCAGAGAUACCCUGAGAUAAGAUUUUUUCCCCAAAAAUCAAAUAAAGCUUAUGAAUAUCAUAGCUACAAUGGUUGGAAUAGGGAUGCAUAUUCCCUAAGAAUCUGGGGUCUAGGAUUUUUACCUCAAGCCUCGAUAGAUCUAACACCUCAGACUUUCAGUGAAAAAGUUUUAGAAGGGAAAAAUCACUGGGUCGUUGAUUUCUAUGCUCCAUGGUGUGGACCUUGCCAAAAUUUUGCUCCAGAGUUUGAACUCUUGGCUAGGAUGAUUCAGGGAAAAGUGAAAGCUGGAAGAGUAGACUGCCAGGCUUAUGCUCAGACAUGCCAGAAAGCUGGUAUCCGAGCCUAUCCGACUGUUAAAUUUUAUCCUUAUGAAAGAGCAAAGAGAAAUAUUUGGGGAGAGCAAAUAGAUGUUAGAGAUGCAAAAGAGAUUGCUGCCUUAAUAUAUAAAAAAUUGGAAACUCUCCGAAAUGAAGAAAAGAGAAAUAAGGAUGAACUUUGAUGAUGUUGAAGAUGAAGAAACUUGAAAGAAAAAGAAAUUCUGACAAGUGACAUCAGAAGGCACCUUUUUUAUUCAUGGUGGGAAUGAACAUUAUCUGGGACUUAAAAUUGCACUGCCUGACUUCUGUACAACAUUGGUAUAAAUCAGGAGUAUGCAAACUUUUUCUGUAAAGACCCAACUCCAUAUACUCAUUAUCCACAUGUCUGGGAUUCCACUUUAUACACAUGAGCACAUAUGAAAUAGUCACCACUUCUAACCUUAAUUUAAUACCUUUUUGAAUUAUGUUCAGUUUAUGGCAGGUGCCUUUCAUUUAUUAGACUAGAAUUUUUUUUUUAGUUGGCUUGUUUCUACAGAAAUCCCAGAUGGAAUGUUAAAGAAGCCUUACUUGAUAUUUCCUGAAUGUAACGUUCCAGUUAUGUGUAUACCAUCGUGCUGAACACAGAGGAGUGUGCAAAAGUAGCUUAAAUUACGGUCCCUGUCUCUCGAGUGUCUGUAAUUCACGGUUCUGAUACAGAUCUCAAAGGAAGUUUUUAAGGACUUCUGUCACUGUUGUUGAGUUGCUGUCGAGCCAGUUCUGUCUCGUGGUGACCCCGCGUGCGUCAGAGCCAGUUCUGUCUCGUGGUGACCCCGCGUGCGUCAGAGCCAGUUCUGUCUCGUGGUGACCCCGCGUACGUCAGAGCCAGUUCUGUCUCGUGGUGACCCCGCGUGCGUCAGAGCCAGUUCUGUCUCGUGGUGACCCCGCGUGCGUCAGAGCCAGUUCUGUCUCGUGGUGACCCCGUGUGCGUCAGGGUAGGGCUGUGCUUCACGGGGUUUCCACUGGCUGGUCUUCUGGAGGAUCACCAGGCCUUUCUUCUGAGUCACCUCUGAGUGGACUUGAACUUCCAGUCUUUUGGUGAGCAGCCAAACACCUUAACCAUUUCUACCACCCGUGGACUCCGCUUGUAUUACUACCCAUAAAAUAUAUUUCCUACACUUAUUAGUUGGGAAACUUGUUAAGUAAUAAAUAGUAAACAUUAUGACACCUGUAACUGGUAACUUGGCCUAAGUUAUAUGCCUUGGAAUCAACCCUAAAGCCAGGGCCACCUGGGAGUCAUGUAAGUAAUAUGUACCAUAUAAGUAAUAUACAUCAAGAGACUAUCUUCUACACUUACAGAAGUGUCGCUGGGUAUUUAAAAAAACAGGUGGCAGAAUUAGAGGUUUUAACGGAUAGAUCAGUGCAAUAGAGGAGCCCUGAUUGUGCACUGGUUAAGAGCUUGGCUGCUAACCAAAGGAUUGGCAGUUCGAAUCCACCAGCCGCUCCUUCAAAACCCUGUGGGGUUCUGCUCUGUUCUGUAGGGUUGCUAUGAGUGGGAAUCGACUCGAUGGCAACAGGCAAGAAGUGCCAGGUGAAACAUACCAUUUGUGUCGGCAACACCACUUUGGUGUGCUGCUGGCUUUGGUAAUGUGGCACCAGUUCCAGCAGGCCAGAGUCUGUUCUAUCAGGCAGCCAGCCUUGAAAAUUAGGUAUAAUUCAUUUUGUUGGUGUGUUUCAUAAAAAUAUAGGAAAGCCUGCAUAAAUUCCUUUCCCAUAUUUAGAAUCAUAUUCCAUGAUAGAGGCCAUAUCUCUUAUUCUCUGCUGGGUUCUCAGAACCUAGCACAUUGUUCAGCUCAUAGGUACAGAGUGUACAUAACAAAUAACCACAAGUGUUCUUCUAUAUUGUUGUAUUUGUAAGUAUUAUACUGUUAAGCUGCCAGCAAUUCAUUUGUGAUAAGAAUUGUUGCCUAGAAAUUAUAAUUUCAUUAUUUUAUGACUUCUAGAUUGUAGCUGGUCUCUGUUUUAAUUGGCAGCCCUUGUAACGCUUAGGGAUAUUACAGUUACUUUUUUAGAAGUUGGCAAUUUUUAUCAUGUAACUUAAGGUGGCUUUACCUAUCAAGGUGGUACAUAUUCCUUGGAAAGGAGCUACCCCAAAGAAUUUCUGUGAUGUCAUAAUUUGUUUUUCUAUAUAUAAGAGCCCUGGUGACACAGUGGUUAAGAGGUUGGGUGCUAACCAAAGAUCAGCAGUUCAGAUCCACCAGCUACUCCCUCGAAACCCUAUAGGGCAGUUCUACUCUGUCCUGUAGGGUCGCCCUGAGUCAAAAUGAACUUGAUGGCAGUGGGUUUGGCUUUGGUUUGGUAUGAUAGGCUUCCCUGGAGGAUUUUAUUCAGAAACAUUAGGCACCAGUAGAUGGCAGUGACAAAUAAGCAGAGACAUAGAAGGUAAUUCAUUAUUCUUAGAAAAUGCUGUGGUUAGUUUCUACCUCAUUACUGAACCAGAGUUCACUCAGCCUGAAUUUGCCUUUGUUUUGGCACUAGUAAGAUCCCGACUAUCACUCAUAUACAUUUGAUUCUGAGAAGGUGCAAAGAAAGUAAACUGUAUUUUGCAUGCAGAAGUUUAUGAUCUAGUGUAACAAGUAAAAUAGACAGAAAUAUAUAAGCAUGUGAAUAAUACUAAGAAUAAAUUCAGGAAACUCAUAUAGGUACAUGUAAAGAUAAUGAGUUUCAGCAGACUCCCCUUCAUGAAGAAUGGUGCCUAGGAAAUAUUUACAAAUCACUUUUAAGAAAUCAUAAAACAUUUAUCAAAUUUUACGGAACAUAGUUUUGUUUUGUUUUUUAAUUCAAAUGUCUCUUCAGGACAUUUUGGUGCUUUUAGUUCUGCUUUCAUUUAUGAAGUACGAGACCCAGCCUCUCAUGUCUAUGGAAUGGGUUUCCUGAAUUCUAAUCCUAGUUCAGCUAUUUAGUAGCUCUGAGUUUGGACAGAUUGUUUACUUCCUCUCUCUGUACCCUAACUUGCUAUGUGGAAAAACUCUCUCUUCUACUUAACCUCAUAGGGUAGAUAUGUAGAUAAAGUGAGAUAAUGUGUUGGGGUUUUUUAAUCGUGCAAAAACAUAUACAGACAACAAAAAUUAAAAAUGUGGGAAAUUUUGUAAGGUAAAUGACAUCAUUCCUUCAGUGAAGUAAUAGCCAGAAAAAAAAUGGAGGGAAAAGUAACCUGUAGAUUAAAACAGGCUGUAAAUAGAGAAAAGCUUUUGAAUCCUGUCAGCCAAAUGCGAUGUGUAGACUUUAUUUAGAUCUUGAUUUGAAAAAACAGACUGCAAAUAUAUAUCUUUAUGACAUAGUUUGGGAAAUUAGAACACUGACUGGGUAUAUGAUAUUAGCCACAUAGUGUUUGUGGGGGUAUUCUGUUUUCAGGUGUGAUAAUGGUAUUUACAAAAUGACUCUAUGCCUGAGAUUUGCUUUAAAAUAAUGCAAUGGCCAGGAUGUGAGGGCAGUCUCCCCACACCCCCCAAAAAUUAUAACAUCCCAGGGGCUGGGGCUUGUUAAAUGAGACAAGAUUGAGUAUAUCAUAAAUACUGAAGCUGAGUAAUGGGAUAAAUAGGGGUUGAUUAAUUGAUGUUACAAUUCUAUUUUUCCUGUUUGAAAUUUUCCAUAAUAAAAUUUUAACAACUAACUGUUAAUUUUAAGAAGAGAAAUACUAUCUUUGGAACUAAGAUAUUAUUGGAAUUCUAUGCAAUAUCCCCAAAUAACAAGUUUAUAAUGAUUUGCUUGCCAGAUAAGUCAUUUUACUGAAUCAAGAGAGAUAGGAAAUUUACAGUAUAAAAUGGAAUUGGUUGGCACUAAGGAGGAUCCCUUUAGAAGAGAAGGUGUGUAAUUCAUUUUCCUUUCAUCACUCCCUCCCAGCCUGGAAUCUAAGAGCUGUUUUAGUUACGCAGAGCCUAUGUAAUUGGCUCAGCCUCUCAGAAUGCUGGAAAACUAUAAUCCUUUUCCCUCACUGAGGUCAUAAGACCGAAUUCUCAAACAGAAUUGACUAAGGAUUGUCUAAUCAAACUAGACUGACAGAACUAAGGACUGAUAAUACAAAUAGGUCUCGCCAUCUUCUGCAAGGAUGAUCUAACUGAAUCUGUCGGAAGGGGCAGGGCACAGCGCUUUCCUAAGGGGACCUCUGCUGUUCCCGUGGGCUAUUCCCCUGGCUGGCUGCUUCUCAGUCUUGUGCUUGCUGGAGAUACCACAACUUCAGUGGUUGUUCUUCUGAGGGCUGUACUUUCCUGCCCUGAAUCUCUUUCCUCUCUUGGAUUGAUGGGUUGAUAAAGCAAAAUUUCUGUCUCAUUCGCUCACUCGAUAACUCUGUGUUAUUCUCUUAGUACCACUUCUGGACAAAAAAACUCUUGCCUACUAGAAUCUAGACGUUUUAUUCCCCAAUAAACAGCUCUUUAAAAGGAUUUUGUACACUUUGCAACAUCUGUCCCAGUUGAUUCUGGAGAAUCUUGAUUGGAAUAGGUAUAUUAUUCAUUGAACAAACACUUAUACCUAAAGCACUUCACAUACAACAGGGAAUAAUUUAUGUGUGAAAUGGACUCACAUGAAUUCUAAUCUUCCUUCUGUGUUCUAGGGCAGAGCACAAACUUUCCCUCGGUUUCAGGUAUGCUUCUAGUAUUCUUCAGGGCUGCAGUCUUCCUCACACUCACCCUAUGUUGUAGGGUAGAACCCACCAUCCCUCUUCAUGUUACCAGAAUACAGUUCUACAGGGAACUUAGGAGCAACUUUCAAGAUGCUUUGUAUGUCCCAUCCAAGAAAUAUACCUACCUCUGUUGCUGUGGAGUCAAUUGAGACUUAUGGAGACACCAUGUGUUACAAAAUAAACUGUUCCAUGGGUUUUUCUUGGCUGUAAUCUUUACAAAAGCAGUUCACCAGGAAACCCUGGUGCCAUAGUGGUUAAGUGCUACGGCUGCUAAACAAAGGGUCGGCACUUCGAAUCCACCGGGCGCUCCUUAGAAACUCUAUGGGGCAGUUCUACCCUGUCCUAUAGGGUCGCUAUGAGUCGGAAUCAACUCGACGGCACUGGGUUUUCUGGGUAGUUCACCAGGCCACUGGGUGGGUUUAAACCGCCAGCCUUUAGGUUAAUAGCUCAUUGCAAACCACUUGCACCAUUAGGCUCCUUCUGUGAGGUAUAGAUGUGCACAUACAGAUUGGACCGUAUGCCAUUGUGCCUCAAGUCGGAGGUACAAAUUUAAUAGCUUUCAAAGAAGAAAUUACCUUGGUUUGGGAGGAGAAAAUUAGAAAAACUAUUCCUAAACUUUUGCUUUAAUAUCGUUUAACAGACUGUGGAUAAGUAUCAUUAGAGACCAUGAAAAGAAAGUGCUGCUUUAAUAGAUGAAAGUCCCGAUAGAAAUAGUAGGGGUGAAAGUGUCAGAAUGAGUAGGAGGUUUGCUGCAGAGACCAGUUCUUUAAAGACCUGUUUGGAGGAAGUAGUGAUGGUGGCAAUUUGGUCCUGAUCACCUAUAUAUACCCUUUUCGAAAAUAAAAAACUAAAUGGGUUGCAGUUGAUGCACAUGGUAAAGUUUAAUUCUAACCAAAAUUAUCUCAAGAAAUAUUCAUUGAAAAAAUUUUGAUUAGGAUUAGUCAGGAACCAUAUGAACAUUAAGUACCAGUCUCAGCCUUCCUCUUUAGUGUUGCCUACAACUACAUGUCCCACAGUCCACAUCACUUGCAGACCUACUGGUCACCUGGACACCAGACAAGAUUCAUAGUCAUGGGUGUUGCCACUUCAUUUGGAUACCGUACUGGCUUGGAGGUCAUCCCGUAUAAAGAAAGCUCUGGGAAGGUACCUCUGCUUCUUAAAGGCUCUGGAAAUUGUGGGAGGAAGUAGGGUGAGCCUGCUUUGUCUUUAGUCUUUAAUCUACUAUUUACCUAGUGUUUUGAUUUUGAAUGAUACGCAAGUUCCAUUGUUGAAGAACUUCAGGCAAACAUAUGAACUAUUAACCAAGCAGUAGGUUAAUUAGGACAAAGUGUCCAUCAUAGCCAUGGACUCUGCAUUAUGUGUUCUGGGCAACAGUGAAGGCUCACAUGCUUAAGUCAUGAGCAGUUUUUCAGCAUCACACCAACUGAACGAAUCCAAGAGAUCCAAUUUACUCAAAGCAGAAAUAAGAAUAAAGGUGUACUCAGAAUGAGAUUUAACAUGCAAAGAAUGAUUUUGGAAGUUGGGUGCCUCUGAGUUAAAGUAAUAAUUAGUAAUAGAAACGGAGUGGAAAAACUAAGAUGUGCUCUUCUACUGUAAUCUCAGAAAUAGGUAUAACAAAUACUUGAAGAACCAUUAUUUAGGAUAAAUGAGAGGAAACGAGUAAAAAGAAGGGAUAAAUAACAUUAAAAGGUGAAAAACAUCUUGAAAGUAAGAAUAGAGAGUUCAAGUAUUUAUCUCAGAAGGAAAAAUGUUAGCAAUAAGUAGCAAUAAAUCCUGCAAGCAAUGGUCUGCAGGUUGUGUUCUUCGUUCCUACAGGGGAAGAAGUGAGCUCAUUUUCAGCAUAAGUGACGUGAGUAUAUUUUAGAGGAAAGCCAGGAGACUUCCUUCCUGGGAAAAUGAAAAGAGUAGAAUAUUUAGAAGUCUUAAAUGGUGUCAUGGAUUGAAUUGUGUCCCCCCAAAUACAUGUAUCAAUUUGGCUAGGCCAUGAUUUCCAAUGUUGUAAAAUUUCCACCAUUUUGUCAUCAGAUGUAAUUCUCUUGUGUGUUGUAAAUCCUAUCACUAUGAAGUUAAUGAGAUGGAUUAGCACCAGUUAUGUUAAGGUCUAGAAUGGAUUGUGUCUUAAGACAAUCUCUUUUGAGAUAUAAAGGAGAGAAGCAAGCAGAGACACAGGGAGACCUCAUACCACCAAGAAAGCAGCAUUGGGAGCAGAGCACAUCCUUUGGACCGAGGGUUCCUGCAUGGAGAGGCUCCUAGUCCAGGGGAAGACUGAUGAUAAGGACCUCCCUUCAGAGCUGACAGAGAGAGAAAGCCUUCCCCUCGAGCUGACACCCUGGAUUUGGACUUGUAGCCUGCUAGACUGAGAGAAUGGAUUUCUCUUUGUUGAAGCCAUCCACUUGUAUUUCUGUUGUAGCAGCACUAGCUAACCAAGACAAAUGGCCUUCCAGCUCUAGGACUUUAGGAUCAAUUAAAACUAGUGGUUAUUUUUCUUGUAGAACACAGGUGAGAACUGCUGUCCACUGUUUUAGAGAAGUAUCUACUGGCUUUAUGGAGAGAAUAUUAAGUAUAUCUAGGAUUUAAAGGUAGGGGCCCAAAUUAAUAAAGGUCAUUUUGUGUCUUUUAUAACUCUUGAUUCCCUUUAGAGUUUUUAAAUUACUUUUCCAUACCAAAAUAUAUGUAGAAAAUUGCUAAUUUACAUUUUCAUACCUUGGUUCAUGUGAUUUUUCCCACCCUUUGUCAUACUUCACCUCAUCCUUUAAGCUUAAGCUCCAUCUUCCUCCAUGAAGCCUUCACUGACUACUCCAUAUUGAUUUCUGGAUUUCGAAAAGUAGCUCAGUCUCUACCAUGUAACUUAGUAUUUGUAAGAAAACUUAAGCUUUAAUUCAGGCCUGUGUUAUUCUUCAACUAGUUUAUAUGUUAUUGUCUUCCAAAGUAGACUGUAAGGUCUUCUAGAGCAGAGGAAAUUUGCUUAAUACUUUCAUCCUCCAAGAGUUGCCAGCGUGCUAAAUACUUGGUAACUUAUUCAUUUAGUUUGCAUGGCUGUGCAUGUGAAACCUAAAAAGAAACGUUUGCAGAGUAAAUACUUUGGUCUUAUGGAACAGAACAGUACUUAGAUGUGUUUAAAUCUGCUAUAUAAAAUGUCAGAAGUAAAAGCCACGACAUAUUCCCUUAAAGCAAAUUACAGCAAUAAUAAUCAUGCCUUCCAGCACCAAAGUCAAAUAACCUUAAUUUAUCAGCUACAUUGCCUACUACGUUAACUUGUUUUUUGAUAUUGCCUUUGCUUUAUUUACUACCUUAUAUCUUCCCAUGUAGCCGUAUUCCUUUCUCCUCUCCUGUCCAGCUAUCCCUACUCUUUCUUCCUUAGUUCGUUAGUCUGGUGUUUAAAUUUUAUGACUUGUUUUCAAGUAUUUUUUAAAGUUUUGAGUUGGGGAUAAAGUAUGUACUAUAUAAAUUCAGUAGAUAAAUACGUACACACAGAUCUCCCCUAAAUGAAAUGUGUUCCCUCAGAGUUAGCCAAUUCAUCAAUUAUAUGAUCAAGCCAUAAAAUUUGAAUCCAAGCAUUAAUUCUCCAAUUAAAGAAACUCUAGAGCCUAGUUUCCAGUCCUCCUAAAUUAUAACUUGUUGGCAACGAAAGCUGCCAUCCUUUGGUGUGAGUAAGCCUAAAUGUAAAAACUCCUCACCCAGCCUCAGAAGUUAGAAAGUAUGGGGGAAAUAUAAUUCAGGUGGACAUUUAUACACAGUAUUUGUGAAUACCAUUUGGGUCAAAUUACUAACAAAUGAGUUACUGUAAAGUGAAAUUUUAAAAAAUAAUAAACAUCCUCUUUAAAAUCUAAACCUAGCUAAAGAUGAGUGUGUAUUUUGACAGUAUGCUGGGGAAGAUAGAUUUUUCCAUGAUGAUUAUGUAGCUGGUAGCAAAAUAUUAGAACCUGCUUCAAUUCAAUGUCUUGUCUUCAGAAGACACGUCACAUUGACCUCCUCCAUGAAAUCUUCCUUGACAAGUGAAACCUGGCUCCAGUAAUUACUGUCUCUCUCUUUUUUUUUCCUUGAUUAACCCAGGUGUACAAAUUCUACACAGUGUUUCAAGCCACUCAAACAUAAUGUGGGCAAGACAGUUCAAAAACACCAAUUUAGUCAUUUAUAUGAUUUCUGGUUAGAAUUAGUAGUUCUCAUGUUUUAAUAGAAGUCCCUGGGUGGCGCAAAUGAUUAAAGUGCUCAGCUACUAACCAAAAGGUUGAUGGUUUGAAUCUACCCAGAGGCAUCUCAGAAGAAAGGCUUGGCAGUCUACUUCCAAAAGAUCACAGCCGUUGAAAAUUCUGUGGUGUGCAAUUCUACUAAGAAACACAUUGGGUUGCUGUGAGUUGGAAUUGGCUCAACAGCAAAUGGUUUGGGGUUUUGGGUUUUAACAUGAGUAUAAAGUGGAUGCAACAAAACCUGCAAAAGCUGGAACCUGUGUAAGGCGGAAACCGGUCAAGGAAGGAAAACUCAAAUAUUUUCCAUUAAUAGAGAACAACAGAAGUGUUACGACUACCAAAAAAAACCAAAACCUGUUGCUGUCAAGUCAAUUCUGACCCAUAGCGACCCUAGAGAACAGAGUAAAACUGCCCCAUAGGGUUUCCAAGGAGCAGCUGGUGGAUUUGAACUGCCAACCUUUUGGUUAGCAGCCAUAUCACUUAACUACUGCACCACCAGGGCUACACGCUGUGUCAUGGAUUGAAUUGUGUUCCCCAAAAAAUAACGUGUGUCAAUUUGGCCAGUCCAUGAUUCCCAGUAUUGUGUGAUUGUCCACCAUUUUGUCAUCUGAUGUGAUUUUCCUAUGUGUUGUAAAAUCCUACCUCUAUGAUGAUAAUGAGGUGGGAUAGACGGUAGUUACGUUAAUGAGGCAGUACUCAGUCUACAAAAUUGGAUUGUGUCUUGAGCCGAUCUCUUUUGAGAUAUAAAAGAAGCAAGCAGAGAGACAGGGGACCUCAUACCACCAAGAAAGAGCAUUGGGAGCAGAGCACGUCCUUUGGACCCAGGGUUCCUGUGCGGAGAUGCUGCUAGUCCAGGAAAAGAUUGAUGACAAGAACCUUCUUCCAGAGCCAACAGAGAAAGCCUUCUGGAGCUGAUCCCCUGAAUUUGGACUUCUAGCCUACUGAAUUGUGGGAGAAUAAACUGUUUUUUAAAGCCAUCCACUUGUGGUAUUUCUGUUACAGCAGCACUAGAUGACUAAGAUACCCUUUCAAAGGCAGAAAACUCAUGAGACCCAGAAAAAUAAGGCAGCCCAGUCAAGAACUGGCUCUCACAGGUUUCACUGUAUUUAAAAGUCAAAAUUGCAUCUCACACUUCAACAAUGGAAGUACAUUAUGUUUUGUAUUUCAUAGAGUGUUGAAGAUAUAAAUUUGAAAUAUUCUAUAGAAUCAGAAUUGUAUUCUAACACUCAUAUCUGUUUACUUGCCUGUUUCCCUGCCCUAGACUGUAUAAACCUUGAAAGCCAGGACUAUAUCUUGUUCACUUUUGAUCCCAUAGGCUCAACACUCGGUAGUAUUGGGAGAAUAAAUGAGUGAAAGAAAAAAUAGGUGCACAAGUUGAUUUAUAACAGUCCUCAUAAAUGCAUAUAUACCAUCAGUGAACAAUUGUUUUUUAAACUGUGUGCUAUACCCUUUCACAAUUUUCAUUAGAAAUAAAUACAUCAGUUAAAGUGUAUGUUUUCUUGAAUUAAGAUUACACUACUGUGUAGUUAGCAAUCUUUGUGAGGUGGUUUUUGGGGUGUGGAACAGAAUAAUGUUUUAAAGUCCAAAAACAUAAAAGAUAUU